CCCUGCCUCGCCUUCGUCGAGUGCAUCUUCACGCAAUCAGAGAUCACUCACUUCAGCACACGAGUUGCUCCUUCAAUUUUCUCCAUCUUCAUACUUCGAUUGCUUCGAUUCGCCUUCGCGCAAUCGAUUCAAGGUACUCUCUUAAUAAGAGAGAGAGAGAGGGAGACAUUUCAAAUGUUGGCAAUUGGGUCUUUUUAGAAUUCCGGUGAGAAGAAAGUUUUUUCGCAAUCGAUCCUGAUUUUUUUUUUACUUAGCAUUGCUCUCUCCAGUGUGUUGCCGCCUCCAAUCAAUCCUGGUGGCCAUUCCUUCAUCAUCGCCAAAUUCAACAUACAAAACCCUGGAUAUACAAAGGUUGUUGAUAUAUUUCUUGUUGUUUCUGUGAAGUUGGUAUGGUAUGGAUUUCUCGAUUACCUUUUUAUUUGAAUUCCAUAUAUAGGGUCUAUAACCUUAAACAUGUCCCCCAUUCAGCAUAGUGUUUACUUCCAAUAGAUUUACUUUUUAAAAUCUAGGCUUGUUCAAAUUGUAACUCAAUUGCCUUUCCUUUAUUAGAUCACUAUGCCACCAAAAUAUAUAGCAACUGACACUCAACGUCAAAGAUACAAUGGAAAUAAAAGGACCAUUAGAGAAACCCUGCAUACAAAUAAAAGAAACAAAAAUCAGGCAUGGCUACUGAAAGCCCAACUUGCCGAAUCAAGUUCUACAUCUUCAAAUUCUGAAAAUUUUGAAAAUCAACCAUCUGGUUUGAAAGGAGUAUUUGAACCACAAAAUUCUACAGUACAUGUACUUAAAAAAGUACCUCCAUGUACCCAUUGUGGAGCAAAGAAAUUUGAAUAUGAACCACCUUCAUUCUGUUGUUGUAAUGUAAAUGUUGUUUUGGCAUCUACAACGGUUCCAGAUGAAUUAUAUACUUUAUUUACUUCUCAAAUAUCUGAAGCCAUUGAAUUCCGUAGAUAUAUACGUGCUUACAAUAGUA